UAAAAGAUAGAUAAAUUUAGGCUUAAAGCCCUAGACUCAGCUUCAAUCGGACCUUCUGAAUAUUUACCUUCAAUACACUAACUUAUUUUGCUUUCGCAUACUCUUUUGUACAUCUAUUUUCUUUCAAGUACGUAUGCUCUUCUCUUUUUUUUGUUCUUUUCUUUUUUUUUUCAUGAGCAUUUUGCUGUAUGUACUACAAGUUUUUUUUAGC
rnacentral:lncRNA from 1 species